CCUACGGGGGCAGCAGUGAGGAAUAUUGGUCAAUGGACGAGAAUCUGAACCAGCCAAGUAGCGUGAAGGAUGACUGCCCUAUGGGUUGGAAACUUCUUUUAUAAAGGAAUAAAACGAGGCACGUGUGCCUUUUUGCAUGUACUUUAUGAAUAAAGAUCGGCUAACUCCGUGCCAGCAGCCGCGGUAAUACGGAGGAUCUGAGCGUUAUCCGGAUUUAAUUGGUUUAAAGGGAGCGUAGAUGGGUUGUUAAGUCAGUUGUGAAAGUUUACGGCUCAACCGUAAAAUUGCAAUUGAUACUGGCAGUCUUGAGUACAGUUGAGGUAGGCGGAAUUCGUGGUGUAGCGGUGAAAUGCUUAGAUAUCACGAAGAACCCCGAUUGCGAAGGCAGCUUACCAAACUGUGACUGACAUUGAUGCACGAAAGUGUGGGUAUCAAACAGGAUUAGAUACCCGUGUAGUC
rnacentral:rRNA from 1 species